rnacentral:rRNA from 46 species
GCGACCCCAGGUCAGGCGGGACUACCCGCUGAAUUUAAGCAUAUAAAUAAGCGGAGGAGAAGAAACUUACAAGGAUUCCCCUAGUAACGGCGAGCGA